GACGAACGCUGGCGGCGUGCUUAACACAUGCAAGUCGAACGGAAAGGCCCUGCUUUUGUGGGGUGCUCGAGUGGCGAACGGGUGAGUAACACGUGAGUAACCUGCACUUGACUUUGGGAUAACUUCAGGAAACUGGGGCUAAUACAGGAUAGGAGCUCUUGCUGCAUGGUGGGGGUUGGAAAGUUUCGGCGGUUGGGGAUGGACUCGCGGCUUAUCAGCUUGUUGGUGGGGUAGUGGCUUACCAAGGCUUUGACGGGUAGCCGGCCUGAGAGGGUGACCGGCCACAUUGGGACUGAGAUACGGCCCAGACUCCUACGUGAGGCAGCAGUGGGGAAUAUUGCACAAUGGGCGGAAGCCUGAUGCAGCAACGCCGCGUGCGUGAUGACGUCCUUCGGGUUGUAAACCGCUUUCGCCUGUGACGAAGCGUGAGUGACGGUAAUUGGUAAAGAAGCACCGGCUAACUACGUG
rnacentral:rRNA from 1 species